rnacentral:lncRNA from 1 species
GAAUCUGAUGCAAAGAAGCACGAGGACCUUCAUUUUCACUCCAGUGGUUGUGGUGACUGUGUCUCAGGUAUGUCUUUAUCUUAGAAAACAGACUCAUACAGUAAAUUGGUGCCAGUAGAGUGGGGUGUUGCUGAAAAGAUACCUGAAAAUGUGGGGGCGACUUUGGAACUGGGUAACAGGCAGAGGUUGGAACAAUUUGGAAAGCUCAGAAGAAGACAAGAAAAUUUGGGAAAGUUUGUAACUUCCUAGAGACUUGUUGAAUGACUUUGACCACAAGCCUGACAGCAAUAUGGACAAUAAGGUCUAGGCUGAAGUGGUCUCAGAUGGAGAUGAGGAAGUUGUUGGGAACUGGAGCAAAGAUAUGUGUUGUUGUUGUGUUUUAGCAAAGAGACUGGUGGCAUUUUGCCCCUGCCCUAGAAAUCUGGGAAACUUUGAACUUGAGAGAGAUGAUUUAGGGUAUCUGGUGGAAGAAAUUUCUAAGCAUCAAAACAUCUAAGGGGUGACUUGGGAUGUGUUAAUUCAGACUUGGGAUGUUAAAGGUAUUCAGUUUUAUAAAGGAAGCAGAGCAUAAAAGUUUGUAAAAUUUACAGCCUGACAAUGUGAUAGAAAAGAAAAUCCCAUUUUCUGAGGAGAAAUUCAAGUUGGCUACAGAAAUUUGCAUAAUUAAUGAGGAGCUGAAUGUUAAUCCCCAAGACAAUGGGGAAAAUGUCUCCAGGGCAUGUCAGAGGUCUUCUUGGCAGCCUCUCCCAUCACAGGUGUGGAGACCUAGGAAGAAAAUAUAGUUUCCUGGGCUGGGCCCAGGGUCUCCGUGCUGUGCACAGUCCAGGGACUUGGUGCCCUGCAUCCCAGCUGCUCCAGCCAUGACUAAAAGGGGUCAAGGUACAGCUUGGGCCAUGGCUUCAAAGGGUGUAAGCCCCAAGCUUUGACAGCCCCAACAUGAUGUCGAGCCUGAGGGUGCACAGAAGUCAAGAAUUGGGGUUUGGGAACCUCCACCUAGAUUUCAGAAGAUAUAUGGAAACGCCUGGAUGCCCAGGCAUAAGUUUGUUGCAGGGGCAGGGUGCUUGUGGAGAACCUCUGCUAGCACAGAAGGGAAAUGUGGGUCAGAGCCCCCACACACAGUGCCUACUGGGGCACUGCCUAGUGAAGCUGUGAGAAGAGGGCCACUGUCCUUCAGACCCCAGAAUGGUAGAUCCACUGACAAUUUGCACACUUCACCUGGAAAAGGUGGCUGUACUCUGCAAAGCUACAGAGAUGGAGCUGCCCAAGACCAUGGGAACCCACCUCUUGCAUCAGCAUGACCUGGAUAUGAGACAUGGAGUCAAAGGAGAUCAUUUUGGAGCUUUAAGAUUUGACUGCCCUGCUGGAGUUUGGACUUGCAUGGGGCCUGUAACUCCUUUGCUUUGGCCAAUUUCUCCCACUUGGAAUGGCUGUAUUUACCCAAUGCCUAUACCCCCUUUGUAUCUAGGAAGUAAUUAACUUGCUUUUGAUUUUACAGGUUUAUAGGUGGAAGGGACUUGCCUUGUCUCAGACAAGACUUUGGACUGUUGACUUUUCAGUUAAUAUUGAAAUAAGUUAAGCCUUUGGGGGACUACUGGGAAGGCAUGAUUGGUUCUGAAAUGUGAGGACAUGAGAUUUGGGAGGGGUCAGGGGCAGAAUGAUAUGGUUUG